rnacentral:sRNA from 1 species
AAUAGAACCCUAGGACUCCAUAUAUUAUGGCGACACAUGCUGAGAACUCAUGAGGGAACAUUAUAACUAACACAGAUCCGAAAAUGUCAAAAGGGCUCUAAGUACUACACCCAAUCUAUCUAUCUCUCGUUGCCAACCGACGAAGCUUAAUCGAUCCUGAGGACAGGCUUCUCCUUUUCCACAAUCUUCACCUCCUCUUCUCCCUCUCUCUCAUCAAUUUGCUCUUGCUUCUUCUUGCUCAAGCCAAUUCGCUUGCCACCGAGGAUAAUCUGCUCAUCCUCUGUGAGUUGAAGGUCUUCGAUGAAGAACAUGGAAAUCAACAUAGGGAUUUGCAGACAGGUAGAAACAAUGGCAAGGACUGCAUUCGUAUUAGUUGACUUGAGAAUGGCCAAACCAAUCUCGGAGUUGGGGUCGUAACUAAUGGCGACUGUGAUACUGCCAUCUAAGAGGACCGUCAGCCUCUGAAUGACCUGCGCCUGAGGAGGAAAACCGACUUACAGAUCUUGGAAGCAAGGUUAGCAGAAGCGGCGGGAAGGUUAUUGGCAAGAGCAUCAGGCAAGAUGUUGAGCCAGACAGCACCAGCGACGGCAACACUGCAACACAUAAUCAGCGAUUGUCCUGGGAACCAAGAGAUAAGCUGGACUUACCCAAUAGCACCACCCAAAGAGGCGGCAAAGUAGAAAAUACCGGUGGCAAUGGCAAGCUCACGCCUUCUGGAAGAAGCUUGCACGGUGAUUUGAGCGGAAGUUUGGAACAUCUAAUUGUCAGCUCGGCCUCAGGCGAUUAUAAACUCACCCCUCGACCAACACCGUAGAUAGCCUUGGCAAUAACAUAGCUGGCAAUCGCACUCUUCCUACGAGGGUGCUGGACAAAGUUGAUGUCUUCUCACCAAAGGGCACAAAGAGGGAUACCGAUCCACACAGGGUAUCUAGUGUGGAAGAGUCGCUUGCCCAAACCAAGCUUGACACAAGCAGGGGUCCAGAAUCGCAUAACGAGACCGACGACGAGUGCGGUGACCUGGAAGACGAUUCGAAGAGUAUUGUCGAUCAUUGAAGCCUUGCUGGCAGAUGUUCGGACGGCAACUUGCAUAAAGGUUUGGAAAUAAGUUGUGAAGACUCCGUAGGACAUGAAAUCGCACAUGUUGAUGACAAACAUAGACAUGAGACUUCGGUUUUUGAGGGUGUACCAGGGGAUGAGAGGAAGACGAGGGGUGAAGAACCACUUGGGCCUCCAUCGUUUAGGAAUAGACCUGCCCAAAGUCAACUUCAUUUACCAGAAUGCCCAAGAUUGACAAUAAAAUCUCACCAGACGACGAAAAGAACAAGAAGACCGAAACCAACACAGAUCAUGGCAAUGUUGUCAUCAGUCCAUUUCGACGCAACACCCUUGGCAAGAGUCAGAGGAAUCAAGAUCAACGCGACACUAGCGACAAGAAGACAGGAACCGAUGAUAUCGUAUUCGUGGAAGAGCUGGUCGAUGACGUUGGUGUGCGGGGGAAGAUGAGGGACAUUUGGGUUAUGUCGUACCCGUCGGUGCCAAGAAAACAAGAUGGCGAUGAAGGGAAUAGCAAGAACAGUGUUUAUGACUGAGUCGAUCAAUCAGCACUUGAAGAUGAUGGAGCAUUCAAAUGCUCGCUGGAGCAAUACAUACUAGACCACAUUCCGUAGCCCCAUCGCCAACCAGAGGCUGUGCCCCAGUUGUCCAAGAUAUGCCCACCAAUGGUUGAACCACUAUAAAGAGUGAUGAUGGCGCCUAACAAUCAGUUUGCGUUAGGGGCAUAUUAAACUCACUGAAAGAGUCUGCGGCGACGUUCCAUAAAGCACGUUCGCGGAUAGCGGUAGUCUCGGCAUAGUAGAUUUGAAGGGCGAUAGUGUAGCCAGUACCCGACAACCCGCUGAAGACAUUCGCGCCAAUAUACGUCUGGACAUUCUUGCAUCCGGCCAUCAUGGCGUCACUAAGCACCUAGAAGGUCAGCUAGAUAUCCGCUCACUCAUUGACUCACAGUGAAGAUGACCAUGGAAAUGAUAAUCCAAGGAGAGAUACGCCCGACAUUAUCACAGAUUUUGG